CACCACACAGAAGCCCUCAGAGAAAUAACCGUUCAUCCACUAUGUCGUCCUUCCUUCCAGUUCUCCUCACAUUGGCUUCCUUAUCUUCCCGAGGCUUCUCCCAGGUAGUCCUGACCCAGUCAGAUCCAGUGCUGAAGGAACCAGGAGAAGCUCAUAAACUGACUUGUGCUGUCACUGGAUUUAAUGUCAACAGCUACUGGAUGGGUUGGGUCAGACAGAAACCUGGCCAAGGACUGGAAUGGCUUGUUUACUAUUAUGAUUCUAGUAACAAAUAUUAUUCACCCACAAUCCAAGGGCGCUUUACUGCCUCCAAGGACAGCUCCAACCUCUUUCUGCAAAUGAACGACCUCAAAGCUGAAGACACGGCUGUGUAUUAUUGUGCAAGAGACACAGUGAAAAGAGUCCAAGGAGAACUCAUGCAAAAACUCUUCCUUGAAUGA